GACGAACGCUGGCGGCGUGCCUAAUACAUGCAAGUAGAACGCACAGUUUAUACCGUAGCUUGCUACACCAUAGACUGUGAGUUGCGAACGGGUGAGUAACGCGUAGGUAACCUGCCUGGUAGCGGGGGAUAACUAUUGGAAACGAUAGCUAAUACCGCAUAAUAUUAAUUAUUGCAUGAUAAUUAAUUGAAAGGUGCAAUUGCACCACUACCAGAUGGACCUGCGUUGUAUUAGCUAGUAGGUGAGGUAAUGGCUCACCUAGGCGACGAUACAUAGCCGACCUGAGAGGGUGAUCGGCCACACUGGGACUGAGACACGGCCCAGACUCCUACGGGAGGCAGCAGUAGGGAAUCUUCGGCAAUGGACGAAAGUCUGACCGAGCAACGCCGCGUGAGUGAAGAAGGUUUUCGGAUCGUAAAGCUCUGUUGUAAGAGAAGAACGGGUGUGAGAGUGGAAAGUUCACACUGUGACGGUAUCUUACCAGAAAGAGACGGCUAACUACGUG
rnacentral:rRNA from 1 species